GAGGGUAUAGCUCAGUGGUAGAGCACCGUGCUUAGCAUGCACAAGGUCCUGGGUUCAAUCCCCAGUUCCUCCA
rfam:Camelus ferus unplaced genomic scaffold scaffold765, whole genome shotgun sequence.